CCAGUGGCGGAGGCCGGCCCGGCGGCGGCCAUGGACCGCUUGUGUGGACCAGCGGCCUCUUGGAAAUCAACGAGACUCUAGUGAUCCAACAGCGCGGGGUGCGCAUCUACGACGGCGAGGAGAAGAUCAAAUUUGAUGCUGGGACACUCCUUCUUAGUACACAUCAUCUGAUUUGGAGAGAUCAUAAAAAUCAUGAGUGCUGCAUGGCCAUUCCUCUUUCCCAAAUUGUGUUCAUUGAAGAACAGGCAGCUGGAAUUGGGAAGAGUGCCAAAAUAGUGGUUCAUCUUCACACAGCUCCUCCUAACAAAGAACCUGGACCAUUCCAGAGGAGUAAGAACUCCUACAUCAAACUGUCUUUCAGAGAACAUGGUCAGAUUGAGUUUUAUAGGCGUUUAUCAGAGGAAAUGACACAGAGAAGAUGGGAGAAUGUACCAGUUUCCCAGUCAUUACAAACAAGUAGAGGACCCCAGCCAGGAAGAAUAAGAGCUGUAGGAAUUGUAGGUAUUGAAAGGAAACUGGAAGAAAAAAGAAAAGAAACAGACAAAAACAUUUCUGAGGCUUUUGAAGACCUCAGCAAGUUAAUGAUCAAGGCUAAAGAAAUGGUGGAAUUAUCAAAAUCAAUUGCUAAUAAAAUUAAAGAAAAACAAGGAGACAUCACAGAAGAUGAGACCAUCAGGUUUAAAUCCUACUUGCUGAGCAUGGGAAUAGCUAACCCAGUGACCAGGGAAACCUACGGCUCCGGCACACAGUACCACAUGCAGCUGGCCAAACAGCUGGCUGGGAUAUUGCAGGUGCCUUUACAGGAACGAGGGGGAAUCAUGUCACUGACGGAGGUAUACUGUUUAGUAAACCGCGCUCGAGGAAUGGAAUUGCUCUCACCAGAAGAUUUAGUAAAUGCGUGCAAAAUGCUGGAAGCACUGAAAUUACCUCUCAGGCUCCAAGUUUUUGACAGCGGUGUCAUGGUAAUCGAGCUGCAGUCCCACAAGGAAGAGGAAAUGGUGGCCUCGGCCCUGGAGACAGUUUCAGAAAAGGGAUCUCUAACAUCAGAAGAGUUUGCUAAGCUUGUGGGAAUGUCUGUCCUCCUGGCCAAAGAAAGGUUGCUGCUUGCAGAGAAGAUGGGACAUCUUUGCCGAGAUGACUCAGUGGAAGGCUUGCGUUUUUACCCAAAUUUAUUUAUGACACAGAGCUAAGGGUUUUCCAUUUGAAAUCAUUUUUGUCCAUGUGCUUGCAUUCAUGUAGAGGUUGUAUGACAUUGAACUAAGAGACAAACCCUGAUCACCCAGGAAUUUAUUGGAACUUCACAAUAGAAUGUAAAAAACUCUCUUCAUUUCUGCUUAAGUAGCAUGAUUCAGGAAGAUUAUUUAGGAUACACAUAGGAAAAUAAGAAAAAAUGAAUGCCAGUAUGGAUUUAAAAUCAUGUUAUAGUUGUGUAGAACCUUAAGAGUUUAACUUGAAAUAUGGUGAAUUUUAAUUUGAUCUUCAAAUCUCACCAUUCUAUAAAGAAGGGAAUUUAGUUUUGCAGAGAAGAGAAAGAAAGGUGGCCUGCUGGGACAGCUUGGCUUAUUAUUUAUAAGUGAAGUUAUUCUCUAGCCCUCCUGUGUCCAUUUUUUUUUUUUUUUCCAGUUUCUGGCCAGGGCUGUGUUUGAACCUGCCACCUCCAGCAUAUGGGGCCAGUGCCCUACUCCUUUGAGCUACAGGCGCCACCCCAUUUUGGGAUUUUUUUAAUGAGGGAAGUUAUACCCUCUAGGCGGGGCUGAAGAACAGCACAACAUUGGAACAGAGUAUGGAACUGCAGCGUGCCAUGUGAGGCUCCUGUUAGGGCUUUUAGAAACAGUCAUAGGCAUGUCUUCAGCAGACUAAGUAAAACACCUUUGUGAAAGGAGAGAAUUUUAUUGGACUUAAUAUAUAUUCUAACUAGUUUCUUUUAGUUUUUUUAAAUGAUGAUUUCAUGGCAUUUAAAGAAUGCAGCUAUGUCAUUUUGUGAAAAAAAUGCUGUGGAUUUUGAAACUCAAUUAGAAAGCUGUAUAAACAUGCCCAGAGUUAUGAUUACAAAAUUUGGAAGGUGAACAGCUCAGGAAUUCCCUAGACUGUUGUGCAGGUGGAAGGGCAGAGUGAACCUUUCAUAGCUUUACAGGAAGCUUCGUGUUCUUUUACCUCAAAGCCACAGACAGGAAAUAGAAAGUAGAAAACUAAUAGCUUCUUUUUCCUUCAAGGAGUUUCAACAACAAACUUUAAAAAAAUCUAUCAUAUUCCAGCAGUAUUUUUUUCUUUGCUCCGUAAUUAUAAAUUAUGUGGAGUAUUCUAGUAAAACGUUUUAUUGAGAGAAGAGAAGCUGGCUGAUGCUGCUUAGAGAUGGCAUGAAUUUUACAGAGGACUGCCUGACUUCCUAUCACUAUGCUGCCUGCAGUAUGCUGGCACUAUCUCAAACUCAGGGAUCCCACAGGACAGGAGACUCUCUUUGUGAGAUGGAGUGGGAAGUGGAAGGGUAAUGAUGGUUUUGCCUAAGCCUCCAGAAGGCAUAGGGAGAACCCCUCAGACCAGGAAAAGGGCUGCCCAGGGUCACAUCUGGGACCCGUAGGUUUCCCAAACCUGUCACUGACUCUUCAUUGUAGUGACAGAUCCCCUAAGUCCCCCAUUACCCAGCCUCAGGUUUAUCUGGAGGAUAAGUCAGCAUCUGGCCCCCAAGUCUUUUAGGAUCGGCUGGACCACUGUAUGCAUUUGUAUGUCUUGCCUCCUCUGGGCUGCACUUUCUGUUUCACCCUGCUCUGGCAAACUUGUGCACACAUACACAGGAAAUAUCUCAUCUGGCUAAGAUUUUUAACACAUUAAUUCCCAUGUUAGUUGUAUUUACCUUACACGAGUUUUGAGCCCAGGGCCUCAGGAAGCAUAUAUAACUCACAGGUCUUUGACCUAAUAAAAUGCUAAUUUAUUAAUGCUAAUAAAAUAAAAAUAAAAGGCCACAAGGGAAUUUUUUUUUCUAGUGUGGCAUUCAGUGUGUUAAAACUUACAAGGAUAAAUAUUAAUCUGUAUCGCCAGAUCAAAUGAGUUGCAAAUAAGAUUAUUGGAACUACUAGAUCUAGCUCUAAUGAUUUGGAUUCAUAUACUUAUUUACUUAAGUGUGACAACUGAUUAACAAAAGUGUAGCAAUCUGAAUUAUAUAAGGUGAACUACAGAGGAAGAAAAGUAACAUGAAUAUAUUUUACAAAUAUCAUAUUAAUUAAAAAGUAUGAUUGAUUUUAUUAUUUUUAAAGUGGGCAUUCUUCACUAUUUUCAGAUCUGUGUGUAUGUGUGUGUGUAUAUAUAUAUAUAUAAUUUUUUUUUGACAAAUAAUGUGUCCUUUUCCCUCUAACAUCGGAAUUAUUUUUAAAUACAAUGAAUUAGGCCCUAAGUGCAAAACUGUUCUGUCUCGGUGCUCACUGGAAUGAUUAUUCCUUUUGCUUUCCUAACUUUGCUCCUUAGGAGCAUGAAUUUUGUAGCUUUAUGGCAAUGGUAUAUUUUAGUCAUUUACUGUCAAGAAUAAAUUUUUUACUUUGAUACAAAGUAAAGAUUGUUUUCAGGGUUACAUGAUUGGUGUUAAUGUAUAUACAGUAAAAUUAGUACAAAAAUUUAAAAUGAUUUUUCUUAACUUGGUGUUCUUUUUAAGUAUUCUUUGAAAAAUAUAUAAAAGUGGUAAGGCUUUGAUCAUACUAAGCCAGUAUGUUAAAAGUUCUUUUAGAUUUCAUAAUCAAGACAGUGCUUGAUUAAGCUCUUAGUAUUUUAGUUGUGUUAAAAGGAUGGGAAAUGAGUCAUGAAUUGUUCUGGUAUUUAAAAAUUCUUGAUAUGAAUUCCACUGUUGAUCAACCAUGUGUAUUCGUAUGAAUGUACUUUCUCUUGUUCCCUGUUUUCAGACUAAUCUUAGAAGACGUCGAUUUAUCGUGUCAUUAUUCUCAUCCUCAAGUACUUAAAAUGGUUCUCUUUUGUCCAACAGUCUAAGAGUCUUCAUUGUGGUAGGGUGGAGUCACGACUCCUAAGGUGGUUAGGUUUUAAAGACAGUGCCUGAGAACAAAAUUGAGCACGCUCAAAAUGAUCCUUGAAAAUCUAAAUUACCAAUAUAAGUUUCUUUAUAGUCUUAAAAGUUUGAAUCCCUUGGGAAUGUACAUAGGUAUGAAUAUAUUAUGCAUAUCGGAAGUAUAAUGU